rnacentral:rRNA from 1 species
CUACAAUGGCGUAAACAGAGGGAAGCGAACCCGCGAGGGGGAGCGAAUCCCAAAAAUAAACGUCCCAGUUCGGAUUGUAGUCUGCAACCCGACUACAUGAAGCCGGAAUCGCUAGUAAUCGCGGAUCAGAAUGCCGCGGUGAAUACGUUCCCGGGUCUUGUACACACCGCCCGUCACACCAUGGGAGCCGGUAAUACCCGAAGUCAGUAGUCCAACCUCGUGAGGACGCUGCCGAAGGUAGGAUUGGCGACUGGGGUGAAGUCGUAACAAGGUAAC